AGAGCGAACGCUGGCGGCAGGCCUAACACAUGCAAGUCGAGCGCCCCGCAAGGGGAGCGGCAGACGGGAGAGUAACACGUGGGAACGUACCCUUUGGUUCGGAACAACACAGGGAAACUUGUGCUAAUACCGGAUAAGCCCUUACGGGGAAAGAUUUAUUGCCAAAGGAUCGGCCCGCGUCUGAUUAGCUUGUUGGUGAGGUAACGGCUCACCAAGGCUACGAUCAGUAGCUGGUCUGAGAGGAUGAUCAGCCUCACUGGGACUGAGACACGGCCCAGACUCCUACGGGAGGCAGCAGUGGGGAAUAUUGGACAAUGGGCGCAAGCCUGAUCCAGCCAUGCCGCGUGGAUGAUGAAGGCCCUAGGGUUGUAAAGUCUUUUCGACGGGGAAGAUAAUGACGGUACCCGUAGAAGAAGCCCCGGCUAACGUUCGCGCCAGCAGCCGC
rnacentral:rRNA from 1 species